rnacentral:rRNA from 1 species
UACAGAGGGGGCAAGCGUUGUUCGGAAUUACUGGGCGUAAAGGGCGCGUAGGCGGCCUGCUAAGUCGAACGUGAAAUCCCCGGGCUCAACCCGGGAACUGCGUCCGAUACUGGCAGGCUUGAAUCCGGGAGAGGGAUGCGGAAUUCCAGGUGUAGCGGUGAAAUGCGUAGAUAUCAAGUAGAACACCAGUGGCGAAGGCGAGUCCCUGGAAAACUCCUGACACUGAGGCACGAAAGCUAGGGGAGCAAACAGG